UACGUAGGUGGCAAGCGUUGUCCGGAUUUAUUGGGUUUAAAGGGUGCGUAGGCGGUCAUGUAAGUCAGCGGUGAAAUCCGGCAGCUCAACUGUCGAUGUGCCAUUGAUACUGCAUGACUUGAGUACUGAUGAGGUAGGCGGAAUUGACGGUGUAGCGGUGAAAUGCUUAGAUAUCGUAAGAACACCGAUAGCGAAGGCAGCUUACUAAGCAGU
rnacentral:rRNA from 1 species